UGGCCUCAAAUUUAUUAAAGUCCUGAUUAUAUGUGUCAGCAUCCCGGAACACGGUGAAAGUCCGUGGCAGUCCCGCUGCUGUAAAUGGUGACGAGGGUUGCAGAGUUUUGCCACUGCUGUGGUGGGCAAACCACAGUGGGAAGGCAGCAACCGUUAGGUUUUAGCCAUAAGCCAGAAGACCUGCUGAGACAACAAUAGUUUA
rnacentral:ncRNA from 2 species